rnacentral:rRNA from 1 species
UGCCAGACUCCUACGGGAGGCAGCAGUGGGGAAUAUUGCACAAUGGGGGAAACCCUGAUGCAGCGACGCCGCGUGAGCGAUGAAGUAUUUCGGUAUGUAAAGCUCUAUCAGCAGGGAAGAAAAUGACGGUACCUGACUAAGAAGCCCCGGCUAACUACGUGCCAGCAGCCGCGGUAAUACGUAGGGGGCAAGCGUUAUCCGGAUUUACUGGGUGUAAAGGGAGCGUAGACGGCGAUGCAAGCCAGAUGUGAAAGCCCGGGGCUCAACCCCGGGACUGCAUUUGGAACUGUAUAGCUAGAGUGUCGGAGAGGCAGGCGGAAUUCCUAGUGUAGCGGUGAAAUGCGUAGAUAUCAGGAGGAACACCGGCGGCGAAGGCGGCCUGCUGGACCGUGACUGACGUUGAGGCUCGAGAGCGUGGGGAGCAAACAGGAUUAGAUACCCGCGUA